rnacentral:rRNA from 1 species
CUNANNNUGCAGUCGAGCGGUAAGGCCUUUCGGGGUACACGAGCGGCGAACGGGUGAGUAACACGUGGGUGAUCUGCCCUGCACUUCGGGAUAAGCCUGGGAAACUGGGUCUAAUACCGGAUAUGACCUCCUAUCGCAUGGUGGGUGGUGGAAAGAUUUAUCGGUGCAGGAUGGGNCCGCGG